rnacentral:rRNA from 1 species
AUUGAACGCUGGCGGCAUGCCUUACACAUGCAAGUCGAACGGCAGCACGGGUGCUUGCACCUGGUGGCGAGUGGCGAACGGGUGAGUAAUACAUCGGAACGUACCUUAUCGUGGGGGAUAACGCAGCGAAAGUUGCGCUAAUACCGCAUACGCCCUGAGGGGGAAAGCGGGGGACCGUAAGGCCUCGCGCGAUUAGAGCGGCCGAUGUCUGAUUAGCUUGUUGGUGAGGUAAAAGCUAACCAAGGCGAUGAUCAGUAGCUGGUCUGAGAGGACGAUCAGCCACACUGGGACUGAGACACGGCCCAGACUCCUACGGGAGGCAGCAGUGGGGAAUUUUGGACAAUGGGGGCAACCCUGAUCCAGCAAUGCCGCGUGAGUGAAGAAGGCCUUCGGGUUGUAAAGCUCUUUUGUCAGGGAAGAAACAGCAGCUCUAACACAGCCUGCGAAUGACGGUACCUGAAGAAUAAGCACCGGCUAACUACGUGCCAGCAGCCGCAGUAA